GACGUAGGGCGCGAGCGUUGUCCGGAUUUAUUGGGCGUAAAGAGCUCGUAGGCGGCUUGUCGCGUCGUCCGUGAAAACUCACAGCUCAACUGUGAGCUUGCGGUCGAUACGGGCAGGCUAGAGUUCGGUAGGGGAGACUGGAAUUCCUGGUGUAGCGGUGAAAUGCGCAGAUAUCAGGAGGAACACCGGUGGCGAAGGCGGGUCUCUGGGCCGAUACUGACGCUGAGGAGCGAAAGCCAGGGGAGCGAACGGG
rnacentral:rRNA from 1 species